GAACGUGAUAUGGGCGUCCCAAAGGAAAGGAAGGGAGGGGACAGCCACUGAGGUGGUCACAUCCCCGCAAGGAUUACCCAUCCCCUACCCCAGACACGAAGGGGUUCCGCUGCCCAGCACUGCGGAGGGGUGUCUGUGUGCCAAGAAACUCAAGGCUAUGUGUCAGAAGGUGCAUUUCUUUAAUAAAUAGUUUUGUUGUCCGGAGAUAUUUACAGCCCGUGUUGGCAGCCCUGCAAUAACCCCACAGAACAGGGCUGGUUACAGAAAAACAUUAUUUGCCUUAACCAAGCAUACUGUAAAUUUUCAAGAGCCAGCAUCCUGUUGAAAAUGGGGCCGUGCUGUGUGCCAGUGCUUGAUUUAGGGUCAUGCACACCUGGCUGCUUCCUCUUCAUCACCCUUCCGAGGGGCCCUCUCUUAUUCUGGCGCUUCACCUGGGAAGUGAGUGGGGAUUUCAGAACUUUCUAUAUUUUCUCAGUGCAUUUCUGAUGUUUCAUACAGCUACGUGUACAUAUAUGGAAGAGUAGGAAUGAUGCAGAAAACAGCAAGUUCUCGGGAGGAGAACUGCAGCAGGACAAGAGAAAACUCUCACAGCCACAGAGAGUCUAUGCUUACAAAAAGUGGAGGACAAAUGUCAGCCAAGAGGCAGCACCUGGAAACAGCGCCCCAUGACCUCAGCUCUCCGACCACCGCGUCCUCCGGGGAAGAGGAAGAAGGAGCAAAGCAGUCAAUGAUUAACUGCACAAUCCAAAGCUUUCCUCCAAAAAGCUUCUGACCACAAAAUACACUGUUCUGCCGCUUCACAAAAGCUUACCCCCAGACCCCAGCAUUGAUACCACCAACCCUCAGCCCGCGAUGCCAGAGUGACCCCGCAGCCAUGGGUCUGCGUCCUGCUCUUAACCCCAGAGUGCGACAACACUUUGCCUGUGACCCGGGAUUGAUUUACAGUACGGCGAGGGGACAGUGGAUUAGCAGUGUGUAUUGCUGGAUCAGCCUCCGAGCUGCAAAACAAGCUCAGGCUGCUUUAGAUCCAUGCGUGGGAAAAUUUAGCAUCGCCCUUGCCAAACUCAUUUGCAACUGACCCUCCACAAGUUGUGCUGCUUUGCUUUAACAGCGGCAGCAGUCGGCAGAUGAGCAGCUCUCCAGGCAGCAGCACGCUCCUGCCUCCUGCUCAGCCCUCUGCGUGUGUUCCUUCCACGGGGAAUGUUCACACACUGCAGUGGUGCUGUGCCCCCUCUGCCAGCACAGCUCCCCACGCACCCCAUGGCCUCCCCAGUUCUGGGCAUCAGCCUCUGAGCCCAUUGCUUGAAUUACUGCUCGGCAAACAUGGAGUAAGAGGUUAAAAAAUGAAAUAAAAUUCAAGAUAUUCAAAAACAAUAAAACCAUGUUGGGGACUGAAACUGAAGCAGAGGGAAUCUGGAAUUUCUCACACACUUAAUGGCACGAUAAAAGCUUUUACCAUGGAGGCAAUUUGGUAGCAGAGCCACUGAGCCUCGGGAGCCGGGAACGCUCCUAAAUCAGACGGCACCGCUUUGUUAGCAUCGCUCAGACCGCAGCAGCAGCAGCUGGGACUGAUGUGGCCGUGGGAUGUGACCAUGAGGGCACCUGGACAGCAGCUCCUCGGGGCUCAGGAGGCGCCCUGGGUUUGCCUUUUGCUGUUUUCCGAGCUGGUUCCCUGCCCUCCCGGUGCGCUGCGGCUGCGCUGUGCCAUCCCUGCACGCUGCCAUCUGACACGGUGAUGCUGCUCUGCACGUGGGGACAAACCCAGCACCGCGGCCCGGAUGUGCUGUGUGGCCGAGCUGCUGAGGACAUCACACCUCAGCCCAGGGAACAAACCCACGUGGCAUCCCCAUGACUGCCUAAGUGCUUCCAGCCAGCCAGCCAAGGGCACUGCUGCAGUGCUCUGCCGUUCCCUGUGGAGCUGAUAGAC
ensembl:lncRNA